ensembl:lncRNA
UCAUUAUCUUCUCCCCAACACCAGCUGAGCAGUGCCCCCUUCUCAGAUAUCAGCUUCCUGAGCCCCCUCCUUCAAGUGUCUACCUUCUAAUAGGAUCAUCCUAGGAGUGGCAGCUACUUCCUGCAGUUGCUAGAGUUCUUAUUUCACCCCUCAAGUUACCUAGUUUACAAACCUUUGUACCUGAUUAACAAUCCUUAGCGUGCUUUUUCCUGAGUGACCUGACCCCUCUCUUAGCAAGCCUUAGGGCUGCCUGCCAGUCCUCUAAGUAAUUUUUUUUCACACCUCUGGCCAGAAUGCCAGCUCCUCACCCCAAAACAUCCUUCUCAACUGAUGACCUCCGUUGCUCUCCUUUUGAAAACACAGAAGCAAUCCAAAAAGAAUUUUCAGAUACACCCACCUACACACCUACCCAUCCAGCAACAUCUUUACCCUACUCUGCCUUCCCUCCUGUUACUAUGGAAGAAGGGUCAUAAGACCCCAAUCUGAGAUCAACCCCGGCACUAGGGCACUCACGUGGUAUACUUCCAUCUACUUGAGGACACCACUCCAAUAGCCCUUACCCCCACCCCAUGAAAUCAUCAAUGUAUACUUUCUUUGGAUUUUUUCCCAUCAGCACUUAACCAUUCUUUAAAAUCUCCCAUCUUAGGACUUCCCUGGUGGUCCAGUGGUAAAGAAUCCACCUUCCAAUGCAGGGGGGCGCAGGUUUGAUCCCUGGUUGGGAAGCCAAGAGCUCACAAAGCCACAUGCUGCAACCACUGCGUCUGUGUACCACAACCCAAGAGAAGCUGGUGCUUCUCUCAGUUGAAGGAACAAAAGUUCCUCCUGCUGCAACUAAGACCCCAAGAGCUGUAUCCAACUCUUUGCAACCCCCUGGACUAUACAGUCCAUGGAAUUCUCCAGGCCACAAUACUGGAGAGGGUAGCCUUUCCCUUCUCCAGGGGAUCUUCCCAACCCAGGGAUCGAACCCAGGUCUCCCGCAUUGCAGGAGGAUUCUUUACCAACUGAGCUAUCAGGGAAGCCCAAGACCCAAUGCAGCCAAAAAUAAAUAUUUUUUAAAAGUUGACUGCUAAUCUUAUAAAAAUAUAAUAAUAAAAAAAACAAAACCUCCCAUCUCAAAAC